rnacentral:rRNA from 1 species
AACGAACGCUGGCGGCAUGCCUAACACAUGCAAGUCGAACGAGACCUUCGGGUCUAGUGGCGCACGGGAGCGUAACGCGUGGGAACCUGCCCUUAGGUUCGGAAUAACCCCCCGAAAGGGGUGCUAAUACCGGAUAAUGUCUUCGGACCAAAGAUUUAUCGCCUUUGGAUGGGCCCGCGUUGGAUUAGCUAGUUGGUAGGGUAAAAGCCUACCAAGGCGACGAUCCAUAGCUGGUCUGAGAGGAUGAUCAGCCACACUGGGACUGAGACACGGCCCAGACUCCUACGGGAGGCAGCAGUGGGGAAUAUUGGACAAUGGGCGAAAGCCUGAUCCAGCAAUGCCGCGUGAGUGAUGAAGGCCUUAGGGUUGUAAAGCUCUUUUACCCGGGAUGAUAAUGACAGUACCGGGAGAAUAAGCUCCGGCUAACUCCGUG